CCUACGGGAGGCAGCAGUGGGGAAUCUUGCGCAAUGGGCGAAAGCCUGACGCAGCAACGCCGCGUGCGGGAUGAAGGCCUUCGGGUUGUAAACCGCUUUCAGCAGGGAAGAAAGUGACGGUACCUGCAGAAGAAGCCCCGGCCAACUACGUGCCAGCAGCCGCGGUAACACGUAGGGGGCGAGCGUUGUCCGGAUUUAUUGGGCGUAAAGAGCUCGUAGGCGGUUCGGUAAGUCGGGUGUGAAACCUCCAGGCUCAACCUGGAGACGCCACCUGAUACUG
rnacentral:rRNA from 1 species